rnacentral:tmRNA from 1 species
GGGGGUGUACUGGUUUCGACGGGGGUAGUUGAGGUAAGAGUAGCAGGUCGAGGUUCCAUCAGCUCGAUAAACGGUGGACUUAAAUAUAAACGCAAACGAUAAUUUAGCUUACGCUGCUUAAUUGUAAGUAGCCGUUCAACCUGUGAUUCCCACAUUACGGGAUUGGUCGUCGAUUUAGUGGGGAACUGGUUUGCCAAAGCUUUGAGGUAAGCCGGAUUUUAUGAAGCUACUGAAGUGGUUAUCUUGUCACCAGGAGAACCACGGAGGGAAUGUCAAAUUGGUGAAUGAACCUGGAGAAGCUUUUACUGUGACACCCUCGGACCGGGGUUCGAUUCCCCGCACCUCCACCA